rnacentral:rRNA from 1 species
GACGAACGCUGGCGGCGUGCCUAAUACAUGCAAGUUGAGCGAUGAAGAUUGGUGCUUGCACCCAUUUGAAGAGCAGCGAACGGGUGAGUAACGCGUGGGGAAUCUGCCUUUGAGCGGGGGACAACAUUUGGAAACGAAUGCUAAUACCGCAUAACAACUUUAAACAUAAGUUUUAAGUUUGAAAGAUGCAAUUGCAUCACUCAAAGAUGAUCCCGCGUUGUAUUAGCUAGUUGGUGAGGUAAAGGCUCACCAAGGCGAUGAUACAUAGCCGACCUGAGAGGGUGAUCGGCCACAUUGGGACUGAGACACGGCCCAAACUCCGACGGGAGGCAGCAGUAGGGAAUCUUCGGCAAUGGACGAAAGUCUGACCGAGCAACGCCGCGUGAGUGAAGAAGGUUUUCGGAUCGUAAAACUCUGUUGGUAGAGAAGAACGUUGGUGAGAGUGGAAAGCUCAUCAAGUGACGGUAACUACCCAGAAAGGGACGGCUAACUACG